GAUGAAGAACGUAGUGAAAUGCGAUAACUAAUGUGAAUUGCAGAAUUCCGUGAAUCAUCGAGUCUUUGAACGCACAUUGCGCCCCCUGGUAUUCCGGGGGGCAUGCCUGUCCGAGCGUCAUUGCAACCCUCAAGCACGGCUUGUCUAAUGGGCGGUUCGUCUGCGGCCAUCCGCCGGAGACGCCCCCGAAAUGCAGUGGGGAUGUUCGCUAAAUCGCAGCGUCAGGAAUGGAAAUAAACAAUGCUGACGGCUCGAUGUCGAACGUCCACCUAAGGCGUGCCGCCCCCUCGGGGUGUGCCGCCCAACCUCUCUCGGUUGACCUCGGAUCAGGUAGGGAUACCCGCUGAACUUAAGCAUAUCAAUAAGCGGAGGA
rnacentral:misc_RNA from 1 species